AUUGAACGCUGGCGGCAGGCUUAACACAUGCAAGUCGAGCGGGGGAAGGUAGCUUGCUACCGGACCUAGCGGCGGACGGGUGAGUAAUGCUAAGGAAUCUGCCUAUUAGUGGGGGACAACAUCUCGAAAGGGAUGCUAAUACCGCAUACGUCCUACGGGAGAAAGCAGGGGAUCUUCGGACCUUGCGCUAAUAGAUGAGCCUAAGUCGGAUUAGCUAGUUGGGGGGGUAAAGGCCUACCAAGGCGACGAGCUGUAGCGGGUCUGAGAGGAUGAUCCGCCACACUGGGACUGAGACACGGCCCAGACUCCUACGGGAGUCAGCAGUGGGGAAUAUUGGACAAUGGGGGGAACCCUGAUCCAGCCAUGCCGCGUGUGUGAAGAAGGCCUUAUGGUUGUAAAGCACUUUAAGCGAGGAGGAGGCUACUCUAGUUAAUACCUAGGGAUAGUGGACGUUACUCGCAGAAUAAGCACCGGCUAACUCUGUGCCAGCCGCCGCCGUAA
rnacentral:rRNA from 1 species